AGAGUUUGAUCCUGGCUCAGGACGAACGCUGGCGGCGUGCCUAAUACAUGCAAGUCGAGCGGAUUUAGAAAAGCUUGCUUUUCUAAAUUAGCGGCGGACGGGUGAGUAACACGUGGGCAACCUGCCUGUAAGACUGGGAUAACUUCGGGAAACCGGAGCUAAUACCGGAUGACCCUCAACCUCACAUGAGGUUGAGCUGAAAGACGGUUUCGGCUGUCACUUACAGAUGGGCCCGCGGCGCAUUAGCUAGUUGGUGGGGUAACGGCCCACCAAGGCGACGAUGCGUAGCCGACCUGAGAGGGUGAUCGGCCACACUGGGACUGAGACACGGCCCAGACUCCUACGGGAGGCAGCAGUAGGGAAUCUUCCGCAAUGGACGAAAGUCUGACGGAGCAACGCCGCGUGAGCGAAGAAGGCCUUCGGGUCGUAAAGCUCUGUUGUCAGGGAAGAACAAGUACCGGAGUAACUGCCGGUACCUUGACGGUACCUGACCAGAAAGCCACGGCUAACUACGUGCCAGCAGCCGCGGUAAUACGUAGGUGGCAAGCGUUGUCCGGAAUUAUUGGGCGUAAAGCGCGCGCAGGCGGUCCUUUAAGUCUGAUGUGAAAGCCCACGGCUCAACCGUGGAGGGUCAUUGGAAACUGGGGGACUUGAGUGCAGAAGAGGAGAGCGGAAUUUCCACGUGUAGCGGUGAAAUGCGUAGAGAUGUGGAGGAACACCAGUGGCGAAGGCGGCUCUCUGGGUCUGUACUGACGCUGAGGCGCGAAAGCGUGGGAGCAAACAGGAUUAGAUACCUGGUAGUACACGCCGUAAACGAUGAGUGUAAGUGUAGAAGGUUUCCGCCCUUUAGUGCUGCAGCAAACACAUUAAGCACUCCGCUGGGGAGUACGGCCGCAAGGCUGAAACUCAAAGGAAUUGACGGGGGCCCGCACAAGCGGGGGAGCAUGUGGUUUAAUUCGAAAGCAACGCGAAAGACCUUACCAGGUCUUGACAUCCUCUGACACUCCUGGAGACAGGACGUUCCCCUUCGGGGGACAGAGUGACAGGUGGUGCAUGGUUGUCGUCAGCUCGUGUCGUGAGAUGUUGGGUUAAGUCCCGCAACGAGCGCAACCCUUGUCCUUAGUUGCCAGCAUUCAGUUGGGCACUCUAGGGAGACUGCCGGUGACAAACCGGAGGAAGGUGGGGAUGACGUCAAAUCAUCAUGCCCCUUAUGACCUGGGCUACACACGUGCUACAAUGGAUGGUACAAAGGGCAGCGAAGCCGCGAGGUGAAGCCAAUCCCAUAAAACCAUUCUCAGUUCGGAUUGCAGGCUGCAACUCGCCUGCAUGAAGCCGGAAUCGCUAGUAAUCGCGGAUCAGCAUGCCGCGGUGAAUACGUUCCCGGGCCUUGUACACACCGCCCGUCACACCACGAGAGUUUGUAACACCCGAAGUCGGUGGGGUAACCUUUUGGAGCCAGCCACCUAAGGUGGGACAGAUGAUUGGGGUGAAGUCGUAACAAGGUAGCCGU
rnacentral:rRNA from 1 species